ensembl:lncRNA
AUGGAUACCAAAAUUUAACAGGCAGAUGAACAAGAGGAGCCCCUGAAGGAAAGUGAAAGGGAAGAUUCCAUGGAAGGAAAGGAGGAGCACACGAAGAAACGGAGCCAAUGAAGGUCUUGAAAACCACAUAGCACAGUUCAGGCUACUGGAAGAAACUCAAAGUUUGAGUGAUGCUGUAAAGCAGACGAGCAACCAAGGAUUUUGGGACUUGAGGUAUGCUCAUGCUCCUUUGAGAAAUUGGAGCUGUGUGUGUAGCUC